CACGUAGGAGACGAGCGUUAUCCGGAUUUACUGGGCGUAAAGCGCGUGCAGGCGGUUCGGCAAGUUGGAUGUGAAAGCUCCCGGCUUAACUGGGAGAGGUCGUUCAAUACUACCGGACUUGAGAGUGGUAGAGGGAGGUGGAAUUCCGGGUGUAGUGGUGAAAUGCGUAGAGAUCCGGAGGAACACCAGUGGCGAAAGCGGCCUCCUGGACCACUUCUGACGAUCAGACGCGAAAGAUAGGGUAGCGAACGGG
rnacentral:rRNA from 1 species